rnacentral:tRNA from 1 species
GCGCUAAUCGUCUAGUGGUUAGGAUGGCUCCCUUCCAGUUUAAAUUAGUAGGAGUCGACCGGCGUUCGAGUCGCCGUUGGCGCA